GCUGGAGAUCCCUACAUACUUGAGGCCCUUCUAAGAUACUGUUCUUAAGCUUUGAUGGUUCUGUCCUGUCCAGAUGGACAGAGUCAAAGGUGCUCAUCCCAUCUCAAUGGAUGUUUUUCCAAGGCUCUUUGUGUUUCAACCAACUGGCAUAUCUGCUGCUACUACCUGGAGUUUACCUUGAGGUGACAGAUGUAUAAAUGUGUGUGGAUAGUAAUGGAAGAGGAAGGAAGGCUGCUUAGUUGUUGUGAAGCCAUCAAACUACAGAACCAGCGAGACUGGCAGCCACGCUUGGAACAGACUUGAGGUGUCUGAUAUAUUUCUUAAUGCCCCACUUGAAGAAAUAGUGGGAGGUAUCUCAAGUGUGCAAAUAAAACUAGUGAGAGUCUGACAGGAUGCCAACAAAGUCUAAGUAGGAACUUCAUAGCUGAAAUGUAAUUCUUGCCAAGCUGAGUGGGUAUUGUUAUUUGGAGGCUGCUUAUUGUUGUUAGUAUCUCCUUUGUUCCAAUAUAAAUGCAAACUAGUAGAUGUCUUUUUCAUUGAAAUAAUGACCGCAGCAGAGUAAAGAUGACAGCAGAAUCUGAAAAUAGAUCUGGGAGACAGGGCUAGUAAGGGGCCUCUUCCUAUCCACAUGACAGUUACAUGGUUCAAAAUGCACAAAACAAAAAUAUGUACCAAUAGGUCACAAGACAUGGACUGGUUACUCCUGUUUUACACAAUUCAGGUCUUUGUAAGUAUCUUUGGAAGGAGAAAUUGUAUAUGUGAAGCAUUCAAGAGGUUUGAGUGAGGGCAAAAUAAUAAAGCAAAUAAUGUCAAUCUCUCUAGGUGAGAUCCCCACUUCAGCUGUACGUGCUUAUGUUUUGCACCAUCUCUACGUGUUGCUGGAAAGUGUAAGGAAGCACUGCUGUUCCUAUCUGACACAAAGACACAGAUAACUUGCUCAAAUUCUUCUAGCCAGAAUCUAAUUGUGUUCUUUUAACUCCAAAGUUAGCAUCUUCUCACUGAACCAGUUUUGGCCUACAGCACAAACUAUCUGCUAGAGAGUAAGGGUAAACUGAGAAAAGAAUAUUUGAGAAAAUGUGUGAAUGAAUGUAUUUUCUGUAUAAUGUUCCUUGUUGCAAUUUUGUUUUGCUAAAGUAACUAAUCCCAUGCAAAGUAACACAUCAUUGAUUUUUCAUCUAUUUAUAGGUAUUGUUGUAUACGUCAUUUCAAAUUUUCGUAGAAAUGUAGGAUUGUUUGGGUUGGAAGGGGCCUUAAAUAUCAUCUAGUUCCAACUCCCCUGCCAUGGAUAGGGGCACCUUCCAUUUGACGAGGCUUCCCAAAGACCCAUCCAGAGUGCCUCAUUCACCCUGCUAAUGAGCACUUUCAGAGAGGGCGCAUCCACAGCUUCUUCCAGUCAACUGUUCAGUACCUCACCAACCUCCACAUAAAGAACUUCCUUACGUGUCAUCUACAUCUACCUUCUUUUAGUUUAAAACCUUUUACCCCUUGUACUAUCAAUACACGCUCUAGUGAAAAGUCUUUCUCCAUCUUUCUUAAAGGAGACUUACUACAGCUUUUCAAUAGUUUUGAGGUCCCCCUGGAGCCUUCUACUCUCCAUGUUAAUUCCCAGCUCUAUCUAGCUUUCUUUGUAGAGAACACGUUCAUAUAUUUUGUUUCCAGUAUGUCCUUUUGUACUUCUAUGACAGGCUGUGAUGCAAUAAAGAAAAGUAUAACUAGAAUAUAAAACACAAAGCUAAAAGCACCUCUAUUCAUUUAAAAGUCCCUCAGUCUAAUUUUGGCUCCUAAUCCUAUCAUUCAAGAGCCCUCCUCCCUGGCUUUGAUUCUAGUCUUUCUGACUUGGUUCUUGUCAAUGGGC